rnacentral:rRNA from 1 species
CUCGUAGGCGGUUCGUCGCGUCCGGUGUGAAAGUCCAUCGCUUAACGGUGGAUCUGCGCCGGGUACGGGCGGGCUGGAGUGCGGUAGGGGAGACUGGAAUUCCCGGUGUAACGGUGGAAUGUGUAGAUAUUGGGAAGAACACCAAUGGCGAAGGCAGGUCUCUGGGCCGUUACUGACGCUGAGGAGCGAAAGCGUGGGGAGCGAACA